GCGGUUUUUCGCGUGGCGCCAAUCGCCAAUGACGCUCGUAUAACAAGUGUCCCGUAUCUGUUGUUUAUUAUAUUUUCGGAUUGUCUGUGCAGUACAAGCUGAUAACGAGAGCUAUGCAAAUGCUAUGAUCUAUGCAUCCGCCAAAAGAUACCCGCGAAUUCGGGGGCGACGCGAAACACAUUUUACCCGUAUUCCCUCUGCACGUUAUCAAUCCGAAAUCGUCCGCGGCGAGCCUAACUUUUGACUUUUCUGAACCGCCGCGAUUCCGUUUCGCGGUCAAACGGUUUGUAUCAAGGGCGCCCGAUGUGGGGAGCCAGGGUGCGACAUGUAACCUCCAUAGAAAAAUUAUACCGUUAUUAUUUUUUUUUAAUUAAAAUAAAUUAAUGUUUCUCACGAAAACGACAAGAAGUACUGUGUGAGAAUGUAGAUUGGACGGACCGUGUAUGCUCAGUGUUCGUAGGAAAAAAGUUCAAUACGAGACCAAAUCUGUUGAGAAAAUAGCUGAGAAAUUUAGUUUACGAAAUCGCAAUUUACAGUUUAUGUUUUGAAAUAUUAUUUUUGUUCACGUUGUGCACAAUUUAUGUUUGUUUCGUUAUUUAAUAAAAGCAAUUUUGUUGAUUCUUAGUUUUUAAGUUUUUUUUUUUUAAUUGUAUUAUUGUCACCGUCUUAGGUUUUGACGGUCGGGCGCCCUUGGUUUGUAUAUAGUAUUGUAUAAUAUCUAUUAUUGCAUGUUGUGUUGAGUACUUGUUAUUGGUAACCGUGCGAUAUAAAUUUAAAAAAAAAUCCGAAAAAAAAGUGUUUUCCAGUAGCUGGAGUGAACUAUAGUACGCCAGUAUUAUAUUACAGGUACACGAAUAUUAUUAAAAGCUUCGGAGCGCGGUAUUUGGUUUUUAAUUUUUUGUUUUGUUUUGCGUUUUUUUUUUUUUUUUUUUUAUUGUUCUUACAGAUAUUAUACUGCGCUUAUUAAAAUUAUUAUUAUAAUAUAUAGCCGCUCUACUCUAUUUCGUUGAUUGUAAUUUACAUAAUUAAUAUACGCGCCGAACGAAUGUAUGAUGAAAAUAAAAAAUUUAAAAACGUGAGUUUCCGGAAAUUAUGUCCGGAUAUAUAACGCGCGUUUAAUAAUAACCUCCUAUGCAUAUUAAACGAGUUACACGUUAUAAUAUAAAAUAAAUAAGUGUUUG